rnacentral:rRNA from 1 species
UUGAUCAUGGCUCAGGAUUGAACGUUGGCGGAGCUACGUGUCGAACGGCAGCACGGACUUCGGUCUGUGGCGAGGCGAACGGGUGAGUAAUGUAUCGGAACGCCUAGUAGCGGGGAUAACUACGCGAAAGCGUAGCUAAUAAUGCGGCGACGUUCUUCUGGGAAAGCGGGGGACCUUCGGGCCCGCACUAUUAGAGCGGCCGAUAUCGGAUUACUAUUGGUGCGGGGUAACGGCUCACCAAGGCGACGAUCCAGGCCAGUUUGAGAGGACGACCAACCACCCUGGGACUGAGACACGGCCCAGACUCCUACGGGAGGCAGCAGUGGGGAAUUUUGACAAUGGGGAAACCCUGAUCCAGCCAUCCCCGCGUGUGCGAUGAAGGCCUUCGGGUUGUAAAGCACUUUUGGCAGGAAGAAACGGCACGGGAUAAUACCCCGUGCAACUGACGGUACCUGCAGAAUAAGCACCGGCUAACCGCGCCAGCAGCCGCGGUAAUACGCAGGGUGCAAGCGUUAACGAAUUACUGGGCGUAAAAGCGUGCGCAGGCGGUCUGGAAAGAAAGAUGUGAAAAUCCCAGAGCUUAACUUUGAACUGCAUUUUUAACUACCGGAGCUAGAGUAAAGCCAGAGGAGUGUAACUGCGUGUAGCAGUGAAAUGCGUAGAUAUGCGGAGGAACACCGAUGGCGAAGGCAGCCCUCGGGAUAGACGACCGAUGCUCAUGUACGAAAGUGUGGGGAGUAAACAGGAUUAGAUACCCUGGUAGUCCACGCCCUAAACGAUGUCAACUAGCUGUUGGGGCCUUCGGGCCUUGGUAGCGCAGCCAACGCGCGUUAGACUGCCUGGGGAGUACGGUCGCAAGAUUAAAAAACCAAAGUUGAACGACGGUGACCCGCACAGGCGGUGGAUGAUGGACACCUGAUGCAACGCGAAAACCCAUCACCCUUGACAUGUCUGGAAUCCCGAAGAGAUUUGUAGAGGUUCGCAAGAGAACCGAACACAGGUGCUGCACGGUUUGCCGUCAGCCAGGCCGAGAUGUUGGGUUAAGUCCUGGCAACGAGCGCAACCCCGUCAGUUGCUACGAAAGGGCACCUAAUGAGAUCACUGCCGGUGACAAACCGAUAGCGUGGAUGACGUCAAGUCCUCAUGGCCUCGGUGGGUAGGGCUUCACACGUCAUACAAUGGUCGGGACAGAGGGUCGCCAACCCGCGAGGGGGAGCCAAUCCCAGAAACCCGAUCGUAGUCCGGAUCGCAGUCUGCAACUCGACUGCGUGAAGUCGGAAUCGCUAGUAAUCGCGGAUCAGCAUGUCGCGGUGAAUACGUUCCCGGGUCUUGUACACACCGCCCGUCACACCAGGAGUGGGUUUUACCAGAAGUAGUUAGCCCAACUGCAAGGAGGGCGAUUACCACGGUAGGAUUCAUGAUCGGUAAAGUCGUAACAAGGUAG